UCGUUGAUUACGUCCCUGCCCUUUGUACACACCGCCCGUCGCUACUACCGAUUGAAUGGCUCAGUGAGGCCUUGGGACUGGCUCAGAGAGGUCGGCAACGACCACUCAGAGC
rnacentral:rRNA from 1 species